AGGGUGGGAGAGAGAAAGCAAAGCCCCAAACUUCACAACUGUGUGUUUGCUUUUUUUUUUUUCUUUCCAGGGAACAGAGGAGAAAGAAAUCAAGACAGGUAGAAGGAUCGGGACCAGGAGAGGGGCGAGGAAUCUAAUCAGGUGAGAACGGGGCCCACCCCGGGAGGGGGAGAAGCUACCCCUAGCUGGGGCCAGGGACCCGGGGGAGGCGGAGUGUCAGGGCGGCGGCCGGAGUCCCGCAGCAGGGUGCAGGGAGGGAAGUGGCCCCGGAGGACCGACUCACUCGCAGGCCCGCAGUCUUUUCCUUCCCCGCACCCCUCAGGCAGGAGCCCCUUGCCGCCGCCACAACCGUGGCCGCUGCCUCUCGUCACCCCCACCCCCGGUCAGUCGUGGGGCGGCCGCGGAGGCGGCGCAGCGGGAGCUCCUGGCACCACAGCAGCCCAGUCCUCGGAGGGGAGGAGACCCCGGCGCAGCUGCCGCUUCUUACCUGGCUCUUCCAGGGCGGCCGCGAUGGGCAUGGCUCGGGGCCCGAGGAGGAACUGGCUCCUCCGGGGCGGAGCGGAGUGGGCGAGUGGGGAGGGCAAGCUUCCCGCCGCCCUCUCAACGGAGCGGCGCCAUUGACACCCACCGGGACUUUCAGUGCUGCCGCGGUACCGCCAUCCCGCUACCCUCCGCCCGCCGCCGCCACUGCCACCGCCGCCUCCGCCUCCUCCUCCUCCACGGAGAUUCCCCCCGCCCACUUCACACAUUCUCCCAUCAUGCAGCGGGGGAACCGCCGUCGCGGCCACGUCAUUUCCGGGCGCAAGGUGGCUGGGUCUGGUCCGGGCGGGCGAUGUGAGGAGGGACCCCUGGAGGGGAACCGGUGUCACAGAUGCUCUCGUCGAGUGCGGAGCCUUGCCCGCCAUUUUGGGUGCGGGCAAAAUUGCCCUUUUCUUGGUGUGGGGCGAGCCACUGAGGAACUCCAAUAA
rnacentral:lncRNA from 1 species